rnacentral:rRNA from 1 species
AACGAACGCUGGCGGCAGGCUUAACUCAUGCAAGUCGAGCGGGCCCUUCGGGGUCAGCGGCAGACGGGUGAGUAACACGUGGGAACGUACCCUUUUCUACGGAAUAACGCAGGGAAACUUGUGCUAAUACCGUAUACGCCCUUCGGGGGAAAGAUUUAUCGGAGAAGGAUCGGCCCGCGUUGGAUUAGCUAGUUGGUGGGGUAAAGGCCUACCAAGGCGACGAUCCAUAGCUGGUCUGAGAGGAUGAUCAGCCACAUUGGGACUGAGACACGGCCCAAACUCCUACGGGAGGCAGCAGUGGGGAAUAUUGGACAAUGGGCGCAAGCCUGAUCCAGCCAUGCCGCGUGAGUGAUGAAGGCCUUAGGGUUGUAAAGCUCUUUCACCGAUGAAGAUAAUGACGGUAGUCGGAGAAGAAGCCCCGGCUAACUUCGUGCCAGCAGCCGCAGUAACAC